CCUACGGGAGGCAGCAGUAAGGAAUAUUGGUCAAUGGACGCAAGUCUGAACCAGCCAUGCCGCGUGAAGGAUUAAGGCCCUCUGGGUUGUAAACUUCUUUUAUAGGGGACGAAAAAAGGGCAUUCUUGCUCACUUGACGGUACCCUAGGAAUAAGCACCGGCUAACUCCGUGCCAGCAGCCGCGGUAAUACGGAGGGUGCAAGCGUUAUCCGGAUUUACUGGGUUUAAAGGGUGCGUAGGUGGGUUGGUAAGUCAGUGGUGAAAUCUUCGAGCUUAACUCGGAAACUGCCAUUGAUACUAUCAAUCUUGAAUCAUCUAGAGGUAAGCGGAAUAUGUCAUGUAGCGGUGAAAUGCUUAGAUAUGACAUAGAACACCAAUUGCGAAGGCAGCUUACUAUGGAUGUAUUGACACUGAGGCACGAAAGCGUGGGGAUCAAACAGGAUUAGAUACCCUGGUAGUCCACGCCCUAAACGAUGGAUACUCGACAUUUGUGAUAUACUAUAAGUGUCUGAGCGAAAGCAUUAAGUAUCCCACCUGGAAGUACGACCGCAAGGUUGAAACUCAAAUGAAUUGACGGCUGGAGNGNGCGACGACGACGACGAGGGAGGAGG
rnacentral:rRNA from 1 species